GACAGAGGUGCCAAGCGUUAGGCAGAAUCACUGGGCUUAAAGCGUGUGUAGGCGGAUCGUUAAGUACCUUGUGAAAUCCCACGGCUCAACCGUGGAACUGCUGGGUAUACUGGCGAUCUUGAGCCACCUAGGGGCGAGCGGAACAAACGGUGGAGCGGUGAAAUGCGUAGAUAUCGUUUGGAACGCCAACGGUGAAAACAGCUCGCUGGGGGUGUGCUGACGCUGAGACACGAAAGCCAGGGGAGCGAACGGG
rnacentral:rRNA from 1 species